GACGAACGCUGGCGGCAUGCCUAAUACAUGCAAGUCGAGCGGACAGAAGGGAGCUUGCUCCCGAAAGUCAGCGGCGGACGGGUGAGUAACACGUGGGCAACCUGCCCCUUAGAUUGGGAUAACUUCGGGAAACCGAAGCUAAUACCGAAUAAUACAAGGAACCUCCUGGUUCUCUGUUGAAAGAUGGCCUUUGUGCUGUCACUAAGGGAUGGGCCCGCGGCGCAUUAGCUAGUUGGUAAGGUAACGGCUUACCAAGGCGACGAUGCGUAGCCGAGCUAAGAGGGUGAUCGGCCACACUGGGACUGAGACACGGCCCAGACUCCUACGGGAGGCAGCAGUAGGGAAUCUUCCGCAAUGGACGAAAGUCUGACGGAGCAAUGCCGCGUGAGUGAGGAAGGCCUUCGGGUCGUAAAGCUCUGUUGUGAGGGAAGAACAAGUACCGGCGUAACUACCGGUACCGUGACGGUACCUCACCAGAAAGCCACGGCUAACUACGUGCCAGCCGCCGCGGUAA
rnacentral:rRNA from 1 species